UUAGGGGCGGACGGGUGAGUAACGCGUGGAAAACCUGCCGUAUACGUGGGGGAUAACACUUAGAAAUAGGUGCUAAUACCGCAUAAGCGCACAGCUUCGCAUGAAGCGGUGUAGAAAACCCUGGUGGUAUACGAUGGUUCCGCGUCUGAUUAGCUAGUUGGUGGGGUAAUGGCCUACCAAGGCAACGAUCAGUAGCCGGCCUGAGAGGGUGAACGGCCACAUUGGGACUGAGACACGGCCCAAACUCCUACGGAAGGCAGCAG
rnacentral:rRNA from 1 species